rnacentral:rRNA from 1 species
UACGAAGGGGGCUAGCGUUGCUCGGAAUUACUGGGCGUAAAGGGCUCGUAGGCGGCCAACUAAGUCAGACGUGAAAUCCCUCGGCUUAACCGGGGAACUGCGUCUGAUACUGGAUGGCUUGAAUCCGGGAGAGGGAUGCGGAAUUCCAGGUGUAGCGGUGAAAUGCGUUGAUAUCGACCGGAACUCCGGUGGCGAAGGCGAGGUGCUGGACCCUUUCUGACGCUGAGGCGCGAAAGCCAGGGGAGCAAACGGG